AACGCGAAGAACCUUACCUGGGCUUGAACCGCACAGGACCAUUCCUAGAAAUAGGGACUUCCCGCAAGGGACCUGUGUAGAGGUGCUGCAUGGCUGUCGUCAGCUCGUGCCGUGAGGUGUUGGGUUAAGUCCCGCAACGAGCGCAACCCUUACUCGUAGUUGCCACCCGCAAGGGGGAACUCUACGAGGACUGCUCCGGAUAACGGAGAGGAAGGUGGGGAUGAGGUCAAGUCAGCAUGGCCUUUAUGUCCAGGGCUACACACGUGUUACAAUGCGCGCCACAAAGCGUCGCGAACCCGCGAGGGGGAGCUAAUCGCAAAAAAGCGCGCUCAGUUCGGAUUGCAGUCUGCAACUCGACUGCAUGAAGCCGGAAUCGCUAGUAAUGGCGCAUCAGAACGGCGCCGUGAAUACGUUCCCGGGCCUUGUA
rnacentral:rRNA from 1 species